CCUACGGGAGGCAGCAGUGAGGAAUAUUGGUCAAUGGCCGGAAGGCUGAACCAGCCAUGCCGCGUGAAGGUCAGUGCCCUAUGGGCGUUAAACUUCUUUUGUGCGGGAGCAAUAAUGGUCACGUGUGGCCAGACGAGAGUACCGUACGAAUAAGCAUCGGCUAACUCCGUGCCAGCAGCCGCGGUAAUACGGGAGAUGCAAGCGUUAUCCGGAUUUAUUGGGGUUAAAGGGUGCAUAUGCUGUGAGGUAAGUCAGCGGUGCAAUGCCCCCGUUCAACGGGGUGAAGUGCCAUUGAUACUGUGUGGCUGGAGUGCGGAUGAGGUAGGAGGAAUGUGUGGUGUAGCGGUGAAAUGCAUAGAUAUCACACAGAACACCGAUUGCGAAGGCAUCUCACGAAUCCGUGAUUGACGCUGAUGCACGAAAGCGUGGGUAUCAAACAGGAUUAGAUACCCUAGUAGUC
rnacentral:rRNA from 1 species